AUGCUUAUUUCGGCAGCACAUAUAAUAAGACUGGAAAAAUACAGAGAAAAUUAGUAUGGCCCCUACUCAAGGAUGACACACAAAUUCAUGAAGAAUUCCAUAUUUAA